rnacentral:rRNA from 1 species
UACGUGGGGUGCAGGCGUUAAUCGGAAUUACUGGGCGUAAAGCGUGCGCAGGCGGUUUUGUAAGUCUGUCGUGAAAUCCCCGGGCUCAACCUGGGAAUUGCGAUGGAGACUGCAAGGCUAGAAUCUGGCAGAGGGGGGUAGAAUUCCACGUGUAGCAGUGAAAUGCGUAGAGAUGUGGAGGAACACCGAUGGCGAAGGCAGCCCCCUGGGUCAAGAUUGACGCUCAUGCACGAAAGCGUGGGGAGCAAACAGG